CCUAAAUGUUACACACUGGACCUUUAAUACAGCAAAAUAAUACAGUUGGCUGAAACAUAUUUUAAGCCUUGAUGAAAUGGAUUUACAAAAUGAUUUUUCUGGUCUGGUCAUUAUAAACUGGUAAUUCUUUUACUUUUUCACUUUAUUAAACAUUUCAUAUAUUUUCUAUACAGCAUAGACAAGGGCUUGAGCACCGCAAUAUUUUCACUGCACCCUGAAUUACAAAAUGGCUCGGACACAUCCUAUCGGUCUUUUCGCGGGGAUUGCUUUUGACAAUCUGCACCUAAGUCCAGAGAGAAGGGAGGCCAAAGAGGCAAAAGGAGACUGAAGGAGAGACUGGAAAAGAGACACAGAGAAAAGAGACAGGAAGACGGAGACAGAAGACGAGACAGGGAGUUAAGUAAGAAAGAUGCCUAACAUCCGCCAGACGAAGAAGAGGGAGGGGAAGACAAGGAAGUGGACCCCAGAGGCCAUGGGACAGGCCAUACAGGAGGUGGAAGCAGGCAGGCUCUCUGCAUGGCAGGCAGCCAAAAGGUCACGAAGUCCAGCCUGGGUAACUGAGUAAGUAGAAGAGAGACUAUGUCCAUAGUCAGAGGCCAUUCCUCACCCCUGAAGAUGAAAAUUCCCUGGUGUAGUAGUGUUUGUAUCUGCCAGUCACAGAUUUUAACUGAUGAAGCCUCUGGUCCUAGCCCACACUCAGGCCAUCUACAACCUCUGCCACCCAGACGCAGCAAAGACAAUGCUUGACCAGAUGUGCUGGAUCAAUUUCAGAAAGCAGCACUUCCAUCGCCUUACUGCCCAGAUCCCAGUCAUCAUCAACCAUGGGAGGGCAUCCUGUGCCAAGAGGGGGCCCACUUGUGUUUGUAGUUGUACUGUAAAUCUUAGUAUACACUGUGUGUAUUACCGGUAAUUGUUGUAUAUACAUAUAUGUGUGCAUAAUUGCUAAAUUUAAAGUCAUUGAAAUGAGAAGAGUUUAACUAAACAUCCAGCCGGUGGUGGUAUACACUCAGAAUGGAAAUUGAGGAGCCUUUACUACAUAAUUUGGUGUUGUUGAAGCAUGUUAUCUUUGUGAAGGACGGAACUGCGGUCCCGGAUAUGUUUACAGCAUUGAUGUUGAUUUGGCUGAUUCAGGAACAACCUAAUACACCCGCACGGCUUUAUCAUGUGCGAUAGCAUCCUUUUGCCAACUCUGGUAAAGACAAAGCUAAAGUAAAUGGUUAAAACAAUAUUCAUUUGGAACGGUAAUAAGUUAGUCUUUAGUUUUACACCCUUAAAUUUUUUUUAAAAGUGUCCAACUCAGGACACAGUUACGUUAAUAAUUAUAAAUAUUAUUAAAUUAAUGAAGUUACCACUGGUGUGUCACAUGCGUAAAAAUGCCCAUUUAAUUUAAAGACGCUCAUAUCGUUCCUGCUACAGUGUGAUUUAAAAAUCAAUAUAAAUAAACGGAUCGUUCAGUCAUCAGUAAGAUUUAUUAAUCUAACAGACUGUAAAAUUGUAGACCUAGGUGAAAAAGGAGUAACUCAACAAACAUGAAGGUGUUUAUAAUUUUGGAGAGAUCUGUGUGUGUGUGUGUGUGUGUGUGUGUGUGUGUGUGUGUGUGUGUGUGUGCGCGUGCGUGCGCGUGCGCGUGCGCCUCCACCAACUAAAGCCACACAAAUUGUGGCUUUUGUCUUGGAAAUGACCUUCAGAUGUUCUGUCCGGAGGCAGCCUAGUUAAAGGAUAAUUCCAAUUUAUUUUAACCUGCCGUAUUUCCCAUAAAUUUGACUAUUGUGGAUCUAUGGGUCGUGCUAUGCACUCGCCACCUUGAUUUGGGGAAACGAGGACUCACACAAAACAACAUAUAUCUGGGCAAGCUGUGCGAGCCUCCAACAGCUUUCCAGAUAAGUAGGAUUUUUACAUGAAUCAUUUCAAACACUUGUCUCUGAGUCUGACCGAAAGUAAACACAGAAAGAAACUGCCUGAAUGGCCAUUAUGUCUAGCAUAGGGAUCUACAUCCAGGGCAACUUGCACACCGUAUGUAUGUUUUAGUGUGAGGCUGUGGAUAGCUUUCCAUUUAGCAUGUGUUCAUGCUAGAGAAGUAGUAGUAAGUUUCCAAAUUGCAAGAAUAAAAUGAUUUUGUUAGUCGUUUUCUUCGACUAACGCUACCCCUGGAUGAAAGAGACUCCAGUUAUGGUUAGUUAGUUAAAAUGUAUAACCAGCUUGUGUGUUUUUCUGCUGGGUCACAAAUAUUGUAAUCCCUCACAUUGCAUUUAACGUGUUAUAAUCACUUUUUCACAGUCGGCCUCUGUAUGUUCUUCCAUUGGGGAGGUGAAAAAAAGUCUGCAGGACUUGCAGAGCACGAAUUAUUAAAUCAAGAACACGAAUUAAUAAAUCAAGAGCACAAAUUUGUUCUGUUUUUCUCCAUGACACCUCCCGGGCUCCAUACCUUUCUUGUAAAAGUGAAAACAUAAGUAUGUAAGCUACGGAACAUUUUUCCUAGACUAACUAGCUCUAUACUGCAAUACAAUAAUGUGGUUUGUUUAAUACCAUGUCUUCUAUAUAGAUCAUCAAGGUGAGGAUGCUGACUUUAUCCAGCAGGAAAAAUUAAAAAGUCAGCCGGGGUGUACAUUAGCUAGCUGGCUACAGCUGAUAAACUCUACUUAGCGAUGGUUAUCAUUUCAGCCAACAAAAUCGACAGUUGCUAGCUAGAAAUGAGAAGCCUGCUCUUGUCUAACUCUGUCUCCACAAACAUUACUCCAGGGUUGCCAACUACCCGCUCUCAGUCUCUGUCUCACGCCAAUUAAGCUUCAAAGCUACUCCUUCAUGAAAAAAAUUAUAGUUGUAUGUUUUAAAUAUAGGCUUUCUCUGCACACAGCACAAAGUCUAAACAUCAGGGUGGGCUGUGCACAUGGCAAAGCUGUGGUAACUUUAUUAAUUAUUAAUUAUCCCUGACAUGGCGACAGGAUUGGUCAGGAUCUAACGGCGAAUGAGAUUCUGUACUUUUCUACAACACAGGUAAGCUGUCACACACAGAUUCCAAGUUUAUACUGUAGGCUACAGUCAAAUCAUUUGUAACACAGCGGCUGUCCUCAGGUUCAAAUCCUGAGCUAGAGCUGUUGGGACAUUUUUAUUUUAUGUAAAAGUCUGAUCCAUUUACUCUCACAGUGUUUGCACAUAGCGUAGCAAGAAUGUAUUCUGAACAGGGUGCUGGAAAAAAAGGGCGGGGGGGGCUUAACUGGCAGUAAUGCUGCAGCAUCCCCAGCACCCCUACUUCCCACGGUGACGUAUUUACAUCGGUGGCAUUAUUGUGCACAUGGAUCGUUCCCAUAUACAGCACGCGACAUAAAAGUAAAUAACAAAAUAUGUCGGCAGGACAAUGAACAAUGAAAACACAAUUCCAUAAGUUACAGGAAUUUCAGUAAAAACAUCAUAAAUUCAACUAAUAAAAAGAUUUUGUCAACAGCACAGACAUCAUAUUUGAGGUGAUGUAUAAUAAUUAUUCGGGGUCUUGU